GGAACUGUGAUUUUGUUUGUCUGAAAACAUCAGACUUAUAAGUCAAUAAACUGAAGUAUUUUUUGAAAAUAGCAACUAUUAUAAAUUGAGCCUGAGAAAAUUGUUUUGGAGGCAGCACGAGAUUAUGAAAACCCGAAAACUCCCUAAAAGCUGCUCAGACAUAUUUGACGAAAAUUGGACUAGGGCGAGCCAUAUGUAGUAUUCAAAAUUAAAGAAAGUGCUUAUCUAAUAUCUAUGGGCGAGUCGGCAAUAUUUAAUGAGACCCAAAUUGCAUUAAAUGUAAAUGGACAUUUUGUUAACCCAAAAACUGGGAAAACGAUCGAGAACGUGGUCGCCCUUACAUGUUUGCCCUAUAGAUUUCGCUAUACUGAAGAACUCGUAGCGAACUGUUUAUACCCCGAAAACAUGUCCGAUGCGAAUUAUACAAUACUAAACUAUCCACUCUAUGAGAAGCAAUCCAUGCAAGCCCAAAUGAAAUACGGAUAUCAACUGGGCGGCGUGGUUGACGAUGACGAAACCAGUUGUGCUAUCUAUUCAAAGAACUUCAAUUGGUGGAUUGCAGUUUUUAUCGGCUUGCUGCUAUGCUGGGCAAUCAUUUCCAGUCGUUUUCGAAUAUAAAGCAGCCAAAAUUUCUGGAUGUGAGCAGUAAAAAACUACUGCUGUUAAACUAGAUGGAGCCUUAACAUAUUCUGUACAAAUUAGCAGCACGUUAACAGAACUUCAAGGUGCGGCUUUACAUAAUUCAAAGAUGUUAACGAUAUUAAUAACAGAAUUGCAAGCCCCACAUACUGACGGCUUUUCAGCUAAAUCAACUACAAGAUACCCAGUAAAUAAAUUGUAAAUAAAUUGUAAAAAUGUGAAUUGAUUUGACAUUUGUAAUAAUAUGUAAGAAAUCGGAAGAAUUUAAACGACACAAGAAAGCUAUUCCGAUUUGUAUCUAUUACAGAAAUAAAACACAGCAAACAAUAA